GCAGCAGUGGGGCAGUCUGACAGAAUGGCCUCUAACAUGGAAGCGCAUAUGGAGAAAAGGUGUGGGAUUCAGUUCCUCCAAGAAGAAAAAAUGGCAACUCUUGACAUACACUGAUGCUUUCUGAACAUUUAUGGAAACCAACCAUUAAAUGUGAGCCCAGUGAGGCAGUGUGAUGCAUUUCAUCAGUGGUGACAGUGACAUGAAACACAAGCCAUACUCCGGAUGGCCAUGCAAAAUUUUAUAAGCAUGGCAUGAAGGCUCUUGUGGUGAGAAUGCACACUAAUGGUGGUACAUGAAUCCACAAGGUAUCCACCUCUCUUUUAGAAGAAAGAACUGUCCAUGGCUUGCUCAGAGCACAUGGGGUCUGGCCAAGAUGAAUGCAGAGGACUCUGAGCAGGACAUUGCUGAAGAAAAACUCUGAACAUGUUUUCUUCAGGAUUCAGUGUAGAGAAUGGGAUGGAAAAUAAGUCCAGCUCUUCUGGGUGACCACGAGGAGAGGAGCACAAGAGUCCUAAAUCCACUUUGGAUGCAAAAG